CCUACGGGGGGCAGCAGUGGGGAAUAUUGGACAAUGGGGGGAACCCUGAUCCAGCCAUGCCGCGUGUGUGAAGAAGGCCCUCGGGUUGUAAAGCACUUUCAGUGAGGAAGAACGCCUGGUGGUUAAUACCCAUCAGGAAAGAUAUCACUCACAGAAGAAGCACCGGCUAACUCCGUGCCAGCAGCCGCGGUAAUACGGAGGGUGCGAGCGUUAAUCGGAAUUACUGGGCGUAAAGCGCGCGUAGGUGGCUUGAUAAGCCGGUUGUGAAAGCCCCGGGCUCAACCUGGGAACGGCAUCCGGAACUGUCAAGCUAGAGUGCAGGAGAGGAAGGUAGAAUUCCCGGUGUAGCGGUGAAAUGCGUAGAGAUCGGGAGGAAUACCAGUGGCGAAGGCGGCCUUCUGGACUGACACUGACACUGAGGUGCGAAAGCGUGGGUAGCAAACAGGAUUAGAUACCCGAGUAGUC
rnacentral:rRNA from 1 species